rnacentral:rRNA from 1 species
UAGCGUAGGGGGCAAGCGUUGUCCGGAAUCAUUGGGCGUAAAGAGCGUGUAGGCGGCCAGAAAAGUCCGCUGUGAAAACUCGAGGCUCAACUUCGAGCUGUCGGUGGAAACUUUCUGGCUAGAGUCCGGAAGAGGAGAAUGGAAUUCCUGGUGUAGCGGUGAAAUGCGCAGAUAUCAGGAAGAACACCCGUGGCGAAGGCGGUUCUCUGGGACGGUACUGACGCUGAGACGCGAAAGCGUGGGAGCAAACAGG